UGCCCAGCAACUCCUAUCCCUACCUCCUCGUGGUACUGGCCGGGGUACGAGUAACCUUGGGGAAGAUCGGGUAACCAACCCCCGGUGGGAACUUUGGUCGUAUGCUGACAGGAAAGG
rfam:Aedes aegypti strain Liverpool supercont1.490 genomic scaffold, whole genome shotgun sequence.